rnacentral:rRNA from 1 species
GAUGAACGCUGGCGGCGUGCUUAACACAUGCAAGUCGAACGAGAAGUGGAGACGGAAACCUUCGGGCGGAAGACUUUACUUCGAGUGGCGGACGGGUGAGUAACGCGUGGGUAACCUGCCUCAUACAGGGGGAUAACAGUUGGAAACGACUGUUAAUACCGCAUAAGACCACAGCACCGCAUGGUGCGGGGGUAAAAACUCCGGUGGUAUGAGAUGGACCCGCGUUCGAUUAGCCAGUUGGCGGGGUAACGGCCCACCAAAGCGACGAUCGAUAGCCGAUCUGAGAGGAUGACCGGCCACAUUGGGACUGAGACACGGCCCAAACUCCUACGGGAGGCAGCGGUGGGGAAUAUUGCACAAUGGGGGAAACCCUGAUGCAGCGACGCCGCGUGAGUGAAGAAGUAUUUCGGUAUGUAAAGCUCUAUCAGCAGGGAAGAAAAUGACAGUACCUGAGGAAGAAGCCCCGGCUAACUACGUG